rnacentral:rRNA from 1 species
GAGUUUGAUCGUGGCUCAGAACGAACGCUGGCGGCAUGCCUAACACAUGCAAGUCGAACGAUGGCUUCGGCCAUAGUGGCGCACGGGUGAGUAACGCGUGGGAACCUGCCUUUUGGUUUGGGAUAACUCCGGGAAACUGGAGCUAAUACCGGAUGAGCCCGAGCAAUCGGGGAAAGAUUUAUCGCCAAAAGAGGGGCCCGCGUCCGAUUAGGUAGUUGGUGGGGUAACGGCCUACCAAGCCUACGAUCGGUAGCUGGUCUGAGAGGAUGAUCAGCCACACUGGGACUGAGACACGGCCCAGACUCCUACGGGAGGCAGCAGUGGGGAAUAUUGGACAAUGGGCGCAAGCCUGAUCCAGCAAUGCCGCGUGGAUGAUGAAGGCCUUAGGGUUGUAAAGUCCUUUCGGCGGGACGAUGAUGACGGUACCCGCAGAAGAAGCCCCGGCUAACUUCGUGCCAGCAGCCGCCGUAAG